rnacentral:rRNA from 1 species
CAGUCGCCGCGGGAAUACGAAGGGGGCUAGCGUUGCUCGGAAUGACUGGGCGUAAAGGGCGCGUAGGCGGCGAUCAAAGUCAGGCGUGAAAUUCCUGGGCUCAACCUGGGGGCUGCGCUUGAUACUUGGUUGCUUGAGUGGGGAAGAGGGUCGUGGAAUUCCCAGUGUAGAGGUGAAAUUCGCAGAUAUUGGGAAGAACACCGGUGGCGAAGGCGGCGACCUGGUCCUUGACUGACGCUGAGGCGCGAAAGCGUGGGGAGCAAACAGGAUUAGAUACCCCUGUAGUCCCUGUCUCUUAUAC